UACGUAGGGUGCAAGCGUUACUCGGAGUUACUGGGCGUAAAGCGCGUGUAGGUGGUUUCGUAAGUCUGAUGUGAAAGCCCUGAACUCAAUUCAGGAAGUGCAUUGGAUACUGCGAGACUAGAGUAUGGGAGAGGAAGAUGGAAUUCCUGGUGUAGAGGUGAAAUUCGUAGAUAUCAGGAGGAACAACAGAGGCGAAGGCGAUUUUCUGGACCAUAACUGACACUGAGACGCGAAAGUGUGGGUAGCAAACAGG
rnacentral:rRNA from 1 species